rnacentral:tRNA from 1 species
CAAACAAUAGUCUAAAUCAGGAUCCUAGCUUUGGGAGUUAGGGGCGGGGGUUAAA